GCGCUCGUAGCUCAAAAUGGAUAGAGCGUUGUCUUCCGAAGGCAGAGAGUUCAGGUUCGAAUCCUGUCGAGCGCG
rnacentral:tRNA from 1 species